UGUUUUGUAAAUACUUUCCUUCAUGCUGUUCUUAUUGAAUUGGCCACUUCAGCUUCUGUACUCUUAUGAGCUGUUUUCAUGUUAAAUGUCUGUAUUGGUUAAUUUUUAGUAUGCAAAAUCUAAUCUCAACAUGUCGAUUUAUAUUUGAACAGCAAUGGAUGACUUUUUCGAAGGAUACUCAACAAGUUCUGAAAAAGAGGGCAGAAUGGCACCUGGAAUAAUUCUGAGGAAGAAGAACUGGAUUUACAGCCAAGAAGCCACAGAAGCCAAACUUGACAUCGUUAAUGAAUGUUCCCCAAAAGUUCAGAAAUAAUGGUAAG